GUGUACCAGUUAUUCCGCCAGGAGUAGACGCUGGGUAGCCAAGUUCGGAGAGGAUAACCGCUGAAAGCAUCUAAGUGGGAAGCCCACCUUAAGAUGAGUGUUCUCACUACGAGAGUAGGUAAGGUCACGGGGAGAACACCCGUUAAUAGGCUUUAUGUGGAAGUACAGUAAUGUAUGUAGCAGAGAAGUCCUAACAGACCGAGGGCUUGACCUCAAA
rnacentral:rRNA from 2 species